GACGAACGCUGGCGGCGUGCUUAACACAUGCAAGUCGAACGGAAAGGCCCCUUCGGGGGUACUCGAGUGGCGAACGGGUGCGUAACACGUGAGUAACCUGCCCUUGACUUCGGGAUAACUUCAGGAAACUGGGGCUAAUACCGGAUAGGAAUCCUUGCUGCAUGGUGGGGGUUGGAAAGCUUCGGCGGUUUUGGAUGGACUCGCGGCUUAUCAGCUUGUUGGUGGGGUAGUGGCUUACCAAGGCUUUGACGGGUAGCCGGCCUGAGAGGGCGACCGGCCACAUUGGGACUGAGAUACGGCCCAGACUCCGACGGGAGGCAGCAGUGGGGAAGAUUGCACAAUGGGCGGAAGCCUGAUGCAGCAACGCCGCGUGCGGGAUGACGGCCUUCGGGUUGUAAACCGCUUUCAGCAGGGGCGAAGCUUGUGGUGACGGUACCUGCAGAAGAAGCACCGGCUAACUACGUG
rnacentral:rRNA from 1 species